rnacentral:rRNA from 1 species
AGCUCCAAUAGCGUAUAUUUAAGUUGUUGCAGUUAAAAAGCUCGUAGUUGGAUUUCGGGUGGGCGAUGUCGGUCCGCCGUUUCGGUGUGCACUGGCAGCGCCUACCUUGCUGCCGGGGACGGGCUCCUGGGCUUAACUGUCCGGGACCCGGAGUCGGCGAGGUUACUUUGAGUAAAUUAGAGUGUUCAAAGCAGGCCUACGCUCUGAAUACAUUAGCAUGGAAUAACACGAUAGGACUCUGGCCUAUCUUGUUGGUCUGUGGGACCGGAGUAAUGAUUAAGAGGGACAGUCGGGGGCAUUCGUAUUUCAUUGUCAGAGGUGAAAUUCUUGGAUUUAUGAAAGACGAACUUCUGCGAAAGCAUUUGCCAAGGAUGUUUUCA